ncrna:unclassified sequences manA RNA
UGGAUUCUCGACGGAGAGUCCAUAGGGUGUGACCGAAUAACCCUUGUGGAGGCACGGGGUAAGGUAUAUUAGGACAGGGGUGGUGCCCGCUGUGCUUGCACAGAAUCCGAUACCAAGGAGUCCGAAAGUCUGGAAGUCCUCAUAUUACACCUACAAGUGUAUCCCUUCCAGUGAAGGUAUAGUAGAACCCUUUCACCCACUAA